rnacentral:lncRNA from 1 species
CCUGGCUCUUUUUCUAAUUCCUUAUACUUGCCUUUAGGCUUGCUUGUUCCUUUAGGUCUUUACUGCAUCAUUCCAGAGAGACCUUCUGUGCCAUACGCUACAGUUCCACCCCCUCUUAUGCCGCUUAGCACUCACCAUUGCCCAACAUAGGAGCUGUUUUAUGUCUUCCUCUUGAUUCUCACUGUUUCCUGCUUUGGAGCAUAAGCUGGACAGAGAAUACCAUCGGAGCUCCUCUGGAACAUGUCCUUGUCUUCUCAGAGUGUGAAGUGUGUGUGUGACAGUGCUUUUCUGAGGACUCAGGUGACCUGGAGGCUGGAGAACAGCAUGGAGCAAGGAAAACAAAGACGAUGUGCUGGAGUGUAUGUUGCUUUCAUAAUUAUGUGAAAGAAAAUGUAGAGAAAUUUGAAAGAGAAAAGAUGGCUAUCCCGCCCAAUGUUUGGCCCCCUCCUGCAAAGGCCAAAACAUUCGUUGGGUUUUUCCUUUACUGUCUAAAUAAAGAAGAAUUUGUGCACAGUCUGAGUGGGUCAGGAUUUCAUCCCAUGGCCAUGUGGGAGCUCCAAGAUUUGAUCUCCGGGCUGGGAGAGAAAAUCUUUUUCUGUCUGGUGUUUUUCAAAAUUUUGAUGAUGGACUCACAUCAAGGAUGAAGAGCUUUGAUGUCAUUUGAACACCACCACCAUCACCACCACCAGCAUCAACAAACAAACAAGCAAACAAGCGUGAACUCAGGAGCCCUGUGGCCCAGCCUCCAGUCCAUUUCCUCACUGUGAUCUGGCUAAGUCACCUCCCCUCCACCUCAGUUCAGUCACCUACACAACAGGAAUGGUGGCUCCUGGCGUGAAAAGUUCUUAGGAGCAUUCAGCAUGAUGCUGUGUGGAGCACUUGGAAACUGCGUGUGCAUCACCUCAUAUUUCUGGCCACAGGUCAUUCAGACAUCUGCCCUUUGCCCUGGAGGAGAACCACUAGGGACUUGUGCCCAUAAGCACCAAUUCUGGCUUUUACCCUACCCAUCCUUUGCCAUCCCAAACUAUGCCAUCAACAAAUUCUAGAAAUCAAGUUAGAAAUGCUGUUCCCACGAGGGUCUCUGUGGUCUCUCAGAACAACAAUCAGCUGGCCCUGCUGGGCAGAUGUUGCCCAAUCCUAACCCACACUUAGCUAUCAACUUAAUCAUUCUCAACUAAAAACACCUACCUGAACACUUUUAGGGGUUAAGAAUAGUAUAAUCUCACUUAGCCAUUUGCAUUUUUUCUUCUUUUUACAAAAAGAAAUUUAUCUUUUUUUUUUUUUGAGACGGAGUCUUGCUCUGUUGCCCAGGUUGGAGUGCAGUGGCGCAAUCUUGGCUCACUGCAAGCUCCGCCUCCUGGGUUAGCGCCAUUCUCCUGCCUCAGCCUCCCGAGUAGCUGGGACUACAGGUGCCUGCCACCACGCCUGGCUAAUUUUUUUGUAUUUUUAGUAGAGACGGGGUUUCACCGUGUUAGUCAGGAUCGUCUUGAUCUCCUGACAUCGUGAUUCGCCCUCCUCAGCCUCCCAAAGUGCUGGGAUUACAGGCGUGAGCCACUGCGCUCUGCCAAGAAUAGUAUAAUCUCACUUAGCCAUUUGUAUUUUUUCUUCUUUUUACAAAAAGAAAUUUAUCUCAUUAUUAUGUUUAAUCAGUUUCUUGAGGUAUAACUUAAGUGUGCUAAAAUUUGCUCUUUUUAGUGUACAGGUCUAGGAUUUUUGAGAAACACAUAUUCAUAUGUGACCACCCCCAUGAUCAACAUAUGGAACAGUCAUUUGCCACCCAAAAUUACCUUGUGCCCUUUUGUUGUCAGACUCUUCUUUCUCCAGACCCUGGCAACCACUGAUGGAUUUUCUGUCCCUAUAGUUUUGCCUUUUCCAGAAUGUUCUGCAAAUGUAAUCAUUUAGUAUGUAGCCUUUUAAGUCUGAUUUCUUUCACUCUGCAUAAUGCAUUUGAGAUUCACCCACGUUGUUACCUGUUACAAUGGUUUGUUCCUUUUUAUUGCGGAGUAAUAUUCCCUUGCAUGGAUGUACCACAGUUUGGGUAACCAUUCAACAGUCAAAUGAGAUUGAAUUUGUUUCCAUUUUUUGGUGAUUAUAAAUACAGCUAUAAACAUUUGUGAAAGUGUUUUGUAUGUACAUACAUUUUUCUUAGACAUUUGGUUUUAAGAGAUGUAUUUAGGUUUAGUUCCAGAUGAACAAUGAGAGACUGAAAGACUUAAGGGACCCCUGAGAAGAGCAGAGGGAAUAUUCCCUGAGGCAGCCAUCAGUCAGACCUGGCCCUGUCAUUUAAAUGUGGGCUAGUGGUAGCAAGAUGCUGUUAUUAUUUUCACCAAGGACAUUUUUUGAGUAGCAAUUAAAAUGAAGUCUAUUUCUCUGAGCCCCUGGAGAAGAACAUAAGCACAUGAUGGUAACCAUCAAUUUAGUGGGCCUAACGUUAUCUAGGUGGUUAAUGUUUCCAUGGCUUCUGGCAAUUCCCAGUGUAAGUCACCUGUGUAUACUGGGUGGAUGCUUCUUUAAAUUAAAGAUAAGCUGUUCAGCUUAAUAACAGCUAAGGGAGAAUAUAGAGCCCGUGGGUGAACUGUUUACUAACAAGCUUCUUCAGGGUCAUUCAACUUGAAUGAACUCUCUUUUAGGCUAACUUGGUUUGUGGAGGGAAUGCAUGUUUCUUAGUUAAAAUAGUUACAUUGGAAUCCCAACUGUGCACAGGACUUCAAGGGUAAUUAUGAACCCCCACUGCAGAUUUCAGGCUUAGCACCAAUUCUCCUUGCUUUCUACUUGUAUCCAUCAAAAACAGAAGUUACGAUGGAGUUACAGCUAUACUUGUAAGGGUCUCAGUGAACCUCUCCCACUAUUCUGCCUUAUCACCUUUGGGUUCCUGUGUUCUCUACCCCCUCCCCACUGCAUGUUUUCAUUCAGCCAGGAAACAUUUACUGCCUGCCUGGUAUCAAGCCCUUGCAUGAGGGUGGGAGCUCAUAAAGAUGACUACACUAGAGAAUCAUUUGACCUUUCUCAUGUAGACCUCAACAUGAAUGAGUUUCAAUGCUGAUAGGGCAAUCAUUACCUUCAGACAAAUUUUCAGGAACAGCCAAGACUAGAGAAUGUAUGGCUAAAACACAGCACUAUGCAUUUAUAAUAGUCAUGGGUUCUCCUGUUUUAAUUGUACAUGGAGAAUAUUUCAGCUUUAUUUGUAUGGGCUGCUCUUAUGUAAAACAUUAUUUCAAUGAGGAAAUGUGUUUGGGGUUCUAAAUGACUAACUUACAAACACAACUUUGAAUAAAGUCCAUGAAUAAUUUGAGGAUUUAUGUCUAUCAAUGGCUGAUUUACCAGAUUGUUGGCUUUGGGUUUAUUGGUAUCCAUGUUGAGAGGCAUCAGAUCAUCCAAGGUUUAAGUUUCGUCCUGACCACUGACUAGCAUUGAGACCUUAAUGGGAUUAAUAACAAUGAUAAUGAUAGUGACAAGAGCUAGCUUUUCAUGAGCACAGUGGCUAAGAGAGUUAGCAUCAGUUCUAGCUGCUUUCAUUGACAUAGAUGUAAAUGGGGAGGGAAACCAUGACUAGACUCAAAUCUCUGCUCUAACGUCUGAUACCUGAAUAUCACUUUGCAAGCCACGUCAUCUCUCUAAGUUGUAGCUCUUUGUCUGAAAAAUGUGGAUAGUUAAUACAUUAUAAAUAAAUUAUUAUUACAUUAAUACACAGAAAUUCAUAAUGCUAUUGUGGGGAUUACAUGAGAUGAUGGAAGUAUUUAAUCUAGUGUCUUGUAUAUGGCAAAUAAAAAAUAAAUAUUCACUGCUGUUAAU